GACGAACCGUGCGAACGUUGUUCGGAAUCACUGGGCUUAAAGGGCGCGUAGGCGGUCCGACAAGUCAGGGGUGAAAUCCUGCAGCUUAACUGCAGAAGUGCCUUUGAUACUGUCGGUCUCGAGGGAGAUAGGGGUGUGCGGAACUUCCAGUGGAGCGGUGAAAUGCGUUGAUAUUGGAAGGAACGCCGGAGGCGAAAGCGGCGCACUGGAUCUCUUCUGACGCUGAGGCGCGGAAAGCUAAGGGGAGCAAACGGGG
rnacentral:rRNA from 1 species